CUGGAUUACAGCGUCAGCAAUACCUGCUGUCCCUUGGUAUCAACCGCAUACUUGACGGCCGCUAUGCUGACCUGGUGAAGCCACUUAGUGUGCGUCAAAUGGUUGUCACCAACCUGAGGAAACGUCCUUUGAGCCCCAGCCAUUUGGACUCUAUGAAAGACCUGGUCCUCUCCCUUUACCAUCACCUGGUUACGGGGUCCAAGGAUUUUCCUCACGUCGCAUUCAGGGGACACCUUGACACAGACGAGCUGGAAACAACGUUUAGACCUGUGCUGCAGAGUCGGAGGGAAAACACCACUCCAUCUCCUCUUACCGACUCACCAGAUGGAAUGGUGGUGCUGCCUGCAGGGUCCCGCCUGACAUCUCAGAUCCUGACUCCGGUCCUUCCUGACAAGGCGAAUAUUUUUGUGCUGAAGGCAGACCGGAGGAACUGUGUCCGCACCCUGGAGGUCAACGGCCUCACUGUCAACAGAGUCAUAUCUGCUGUGUAUCGCACAGAAGACUGUGACACUGAGAUGACAAACAUCUGGAGGGUCACUGACUACAGCUCAGAGGGCAACGUCAUCAUGUCAGUGCUCUGCCGCUUCCGGAGGAUGUUUGCACAGCGUGCAAAAAGAAAGGCGACAGAGGAGAAAAGCAGCAGCAGGAGCCCCGCUCCACCAAGGAAGCGCUUCAGACUCUAAUCAAGAUCGAAGCCUUUCCUGGAGAACUUAUUUUCUCCAAACUUUUGUACAUAUGUAUAUAGUUCUUUGUUAUUGUUGAGAUACACAGGUCAGUGUUUUCAGUGCCUCUUGCACUUUUCUUUAUUUCUUGUUGCUGGCCUGUGUUUUUGAUAUUACUAUUAGGAUUACAAAAUGACUUUAUUAUAUAAUCUAUGCAAAUGAACUAAGGAUCCAUGAAGACAGUGGCAAGGAUAAAUUAUUCUCUGCUGCAUCUCACACAUCAGCAAGAACCAACACAGUGAAUCUGAUGAAAAGGAGAAACAAAAAGAGACACACCACAAACGAGUUUCCCUGACUAACAUGAGAGGAGCAGUAACUGCAUAAGGAGGAAGAAACAGGAGCAUCCAAAGACAGCCUGAGAGUUUUUGGGGGCACCGUGAACAGCAGUCACCUCAGAGCAAGAGAGUCCUGGUGGCUGUCUGGGUUCUCUCCAGUUGCUCUGGCUUCAUCCCACAGUCCAGAGAAAUGAUCUGAGCUGGUGAGUCCAGUCAGUGUGUGUCAGAUAGUCGUCAACAAACUUGAGGAACCGUCCUUUAAACAGCAGCCA